rnacentral:rRNA from 1 species
ACCGAGCGACACCGCGUGAGCGACGAAGGCCUUCGGGUCGUAAAGCUCUUUUAUUUGGGAAGAAUGCAUAGUAAUAUGUUUGACGGUACCAUUUGAAUAAGCCCCAGCUAACUACGUGCCAGCAGCUGCGGUAAUACGUANGGGGCAAGCGUUAUCCGGAAUCACUGGGCGUAAAGGGUCCGCAGGUGUCCCGUUAAGUUAGAUGUUAAAUCGCAAGGCUCAACCUUGCGGCUGCAUCUAAUACUGACAGGAUAGAGGAUAGGUGACGGAAGUGGAAUUCCUGGUGGAGAGGUAAAAUCCGUAGAUAUCAGGAGGAACACCCGUGGCGUAGGCGGCUUCCGAACCUAUUCCUGACACUCAGGGACGAAAGCUAGGGGAGCAAACAGGAUUAGAUACCCUGGUUGUCCUAGCUGUAAACGAUGAAUACUAGAUAGUGGGUGCUACACCGUACUCACCGUCGUAGCUAACGCGUUAAGUAUUUCGCCUGGGAACUACGAUCGCAAGUUUGAAACUCAAAGGAAUUGACGGGUCCCCGCACAAGCGGCGAGGCAUGUGGCUUAAUUCGAUGCAACACGAAGAACCUUACCUGGACUUGACAUGUUUCUGAAAGGCCGGAGAAACCCGGUCCCUUCCAGUUUACUGGAACAGUUUCACAGGUGGUGCAUGGUUGUCGUCAGCUCGUGUCGUGAGAUGUAAGGUUAAGUCCUUAAACGAGCGUAACCUUUGUCAUUAGUUGCCACCGGUUCGGCCGAGCACUCUAAUGAGACCGCUAGCGACAAGCUAGAGGAAGAUGGAGAUGACGUCAAAUCCUCACGUCCCUUAUGUCCAGGGCCGCACACAUGCGACAAUGGUAGAGACAGCGGGUUGCGACGGGGUAACCCUGAGCUAAUCCAUAAACUCUGCCUCAGUACAGAUCGAGGGCUGAAAUUCGACCUCGUGAAGAUGGAGUUGCUAG